rnacentral:antisense_RNA from 1 species
AAACCCAACAGCCUAAAUAUCUCUGAAAACUGCAUCGCAAAAUGGAAGAAAGAGGGGGUCCCACUACUGUUUCAAAAGAGAGCCAUGGAAGCCAAAUGCUGAGGAUGGUGGCAUCAUAGGGUGAAUGGAGCUGGGUUCUUGAAACACUGCUUGGAGGAAAGACAGCAAAAAUGCCUCAUGAAUCCAACUGGACUGUUAUGAUGCUCACCCUUGGAGACCAGCAACAAUGUAUGCAGAAACCCAGGCCAUGUGGAAAGGCCCCACGUACGUGUACAACUGAGGUCCCAGCUGACAGCUGGCAUUGACAUGUGAGCGAGACUCUGAACGUUCCAGCUGAUGACGAGUACAGUUUGAGCGAGCUAUCCCUGUUGGGCCUGUCAAAACUGCAGAUUUCAUGAAGCAAAUAAGAGUUGACUUAAGCCAGUAAGUUUUGACAUACUAUGUUGCACAGCCAUAGUAGCUGGAAGAGUGUGAAACAAAUACUAUUCUCUUGUGUCUCAUUUCUCUAUAAAGUAUAUCUUCCCCCUUCCUUGCAUAGGGAUUCUUUCUCCUUUUCUCUCAGACAAUUCUGCUAUUAUCCCUGCUAGAGAUGCUAUUACUACUUCAAAUACUAUUGUUUUUAUAUCUGUUGCUACUACUGAAAAUAAGAUAAUUUUAUAACUAAUUUUGAGUAUGCAUCUACUGUAUAGAUUUACAUCCUUAACAUGUAUUAAAUCACGUAAUUCUUAUAUCAAAAGCAAGGAAUUUUAUCACCCCAAGAUUCAUAUGUUGAAGUUCUCACCUUUAGUAUUCGCAAUGUGACCUAUUUGGAGAUAUGGUCUUUAAAGAUGUGAAAUGAAGCCAUUAAAGUAGUCCUUAAUCCAA